GAUGAACGCUGGCGGCGUGCCUAAUACAUGCCAGUCGAGCGAACAGACGAGGAGCUUGCUCCUCUGACGUUAGCGGCGGACGGGUGAGUAACACGUGGAUAACCUACCUAUAAGACUGGGAUAACUUCGGGAAACCGGAGCUAAUACCGGAUAAUAUAUUGAACCGCAUGGUUCAAUAGUGAAAGACGGUUUUGCUGUCACUUAUAGAUGGAUCCGCGCCGCAUUAGCUAGUUGGUAAGGUAACGGCUUACCAAGGCGACGAUGCGUAGCCGACCUGAGAGGGUGAUCGGCCACACUGGAACUGAGACACGGUCCAGACUCCUACGGGAGGCAGCAGUAGGGAAUCUUCCGCAAUGGGCGAAAGCCUGACGGAGCAACGCCGCGUGAGUGAUGAAGGUCUUCGGAUUGUAAAACUCUGUUAUUAGGGAAGAACAAAUGUGUAAGUAACUAUGCACGUCUUGACGGUACCUAAUCAGAAAGCCACGGCUAACUACGUG
rnacentral:rRNA from 1 species